GCCGCGUGCGGGAAGAAGGCCUUCGGGUUGUAAACCGCUUUUAGUCGGGAAGAAAAGGCCAGGCCUAAUACGUCUGGUUCUUGACGGUACCGGCGGAAUAAGCACCGGCUAACUACGUGCCAGCAGCCGCGGUAAUACGUAGGGUGCGAGUGUUAAUCGGAAUUACUGGGCGUAAAGCGUGCGCAGGCGGUUCGUUAAGUCUGAUGUGAAAGCCUCGGGCUCAACCUGGGAAUGGCAUUGGAAACUGGCGGGCUUGAGUGUGGCAGAGGGGGGUGGAAUUCCGCGUGUAGCAGUGAAAUGCGUAGAGAUGCGGAGGAACACCGAUGGCGAAGGCAGCCCCCUGGGCUAACACUGACGCUCAGGCACGAAAGCGUGGGGAGCAAACAGGAUUAGAUACCCUAGUAGUCCACGCCCUAAACGAUGAUCACUGGGUGUUCGGGGAGCGAUCUCUGAGUACCGAGGCUAACGCGUGAAGUGAUCCGCCUGGGGAGUACGGUCGCAAGAUUAAAACUCAAAGGAAUUGACGGGGACCCGCACAAGCGGUGGAUGAUGUGGAUUAAUUCGAUGCAACGCGAACAACCUUACCUACCCUUGACAUGUCCGGAAGCCCGGUGAGAGCUGGGGGUGCCCGAAAGGGAACCGGAACACAGGUGCUGCAUGGCUGUCGUCAGCUCGUGUCGUGAGAUGUUGGGUUAAGUCCCGCAACGAGCGCAACCCUUGUCCCUAGUUGCUACGCAAGGGCACUCUAGGGAGACUGCCGGUGACAAACCGGAGGAAGGUGGGGAUGACGUCAAGUCCUCAUGGCCCUUAUGG
rnacentral:rRNA from 1 species